UUAAUUUUCACAUUAUGAACAGUAUAUUUUUAUAUCUAAAAGAGAAACUGAUUAGUUCUCAUAUGGGUUACUCAGAUGUCUUUGGUUACCACUUUUUAAUUACAGAGACGAGAUAACUUUUGUAGAAGCUGCUGUUACCUUCAGAGUAGAUCAGAACCCCUUUUGCAAAGGCCAAGAAACCUCCCAAACCUGUACUAUAAAGGGCUGAUUUGAUUUUUAUGGAAUUCAUUGUUUCUGAGUAGCAGCACAGAGGGAUAGUUCUCAAACCUUUUCUCGCCUCAGUACAUAGACUCUCAGUGACUCCCAUCUGGUGAGCACACAGUCUGGAAGCACUUUCCUGGUAAUUAAGGUGCCGUCCCUCUGUCACCCACUGUGAACAUCAUGGACCCAAGCAGCAUUUGCUACGCUGUGGGGAGAGGGGUAUUUGAAGGUCUUCCAGGCAAAGUGGAUUUUGUGAUCAAGUAAUUCGAGCCAACUCUG
rnacentral:lncRNA from 1 species